GAUGAAGAACGUAGCGAAAUGCGAUAAGUAAUGUGAAUUGCAGAAUUCAGUGAAUCAUCGAAUCUUUGAACGCACAUUGCGCCCCUUGGUAUUCCGAGGGGCAUGCCUGUUCGAGCGUCAUUAUAACCCCUCAAGCUCAGCUUGGUGUUGGGGCCUGCUGCACUGGCAGCCCUUAAAAUCAGUGGCGGCGCCAUCUGGCUCUAAGCGUAGUAAUUCUUCUCGCUAUGGAGUCCUGGUGGAUGCUUGCCAUCAACCCCCAAUUUUUCUAUGGUUCACCUCGGAUCAGGUAGGGAUACCCGCUGAACUUAAGCAUAUCAAUAAGCGGAGGA
rnacentral:misc_RNA from 1 species